rnacentral:misc_RNA from 1 species
GAAGGAGAAGGAGAAGGAGAAGAAAGCUGCUGCAGCAGCUGCAGCUGUUGCUUCAGAAAGGAAGGAAGAAAAAGUAGAAGAAGCGAAAACAGAAACAAAUGAACCAAAAAAGAAUGAUACAAAAGGUAAAGCUUCUGAGAAGAAGGUGCCAAAGCAUGUUAGAGAGAUGCAAGAAGCAAUUGCUAGGCGAAAAGAAAUGGAGGAGAGGAAGGCCAGAGAGGAAGAGGAGAAGAGGAGGAAGGAAGAAGAGGAAAGGCGUAGGCAGGAAGAACUUGAGAGGCAAGCAGAAGAGGCUAGGCGCAGGAAGAAGGAGAGGGAAAAGGAGAAACUUUUGAAGAAGAAACAAGAGGGCAAACUCUUAACAGGAAAGCAGAAGGAGGAACAACGACGUUUAGAGGCUAUGAGGAAUCAAAUACUUGCUAAUGCUGGUAUUACCAUCCCAACAGUGGACAAAGAAGGUGUAUCAACAAAAAGACCCAAGUACCAGACGAAGAAGUCAAAACCAACUCAUCAUUAUGCAAAUGGUGCUGCUCCAACUAAGGUGGACGAAAAUGUUGAAAAUAAAGAAAAAGAGCCAGAACAACAAGAUGCUGAGCCUCAGGUAGAAUCUAUGGAAUUAGAAAAUGUUGAAGAGGAGGAACCAGUAAAUAUGGAAGAGGAACCACAAGUUGUCAAUGGAGCUGAGGAGAAUGGAAGGGAGCAAGGUGGUGAUGAUGAUGAUGAGGAGGAGGA